rnacentral:rRNA from 1 species
GCGCGAAAACUUCGCAAUGCUGGAAACAGCGACGAGGGAACUCCCAGUGCCAGCACACAGUGUUGGCUUUUCUCGAGCCUAAAAAGCUCGGGGAAUAAGGGCUGGGUAAGACGGGUGCCAGCCGCCGCGGUAAUACCCGCAGCUCAAGUGGUCGCCGCUAUUAUUGGGCCUAAAGCGUCCGUAGCCGGCCUGGUAAAUGCUUGGGUAAAUCGGACGGCUCAACCGUUCGAAUUCCGAGUAGACUGCCGGGCUUGGGACCGGGAGAGGCUGGAGGUACUCCGGGGGUAGGGGUGAAAUCCUGUAAUCCCCGGGGGACCACCGGUGGCGAAGGCGUCCAGCUAGAACGGAUCCGACGGUGAGGGACGAAGCCUCGGGGAGCAAACCGG